rnacentral:rRNA from 1 species
UAGAGGAAGUAAAAGUCGUAACAAGGUUUCCGUAGGUGAACCUGCGGAAGGAUCAUUAUUGAAAUAAACCUGAUGGGUUGUUGCUGGUUCUCUAGGGAGCAUGUGCACACCUUGUCAUCUUUAUAUCUCCACCUGUGCACUUUUUGUAGACCUUUCAGGUCUAUGUUGCUUCAUUUACCCCAAUGUAUGUUAAUAGAAUGUUGUGCCUAUAUAAUAUAUACAACUUUCAGCAACGGAUCUCUUGGCUCUCGCAUCGAUGAAGAACGCAGCGAAAUGCGAUAAGUAAUGUGAAUUGCAGAAUUCAGUGAAUCAUCGAAUCUUUGAACGCACCUUGCGCUCCUUGGUAUUCCGAGGAGCAUGCCUGUUUGAGUGUCAUUAAUAUAUCAACCUUCUCUUUUUUGAGUUGUUUGGAUGUGGGGGUUUGCUGGCCUCUUAAAUGAUUCAGCUCCCCUGAAAUGCAUUAGCAGAACAACCUGUUCAUUGGCGUGAUAAUUAUCUAUGCUAUUGAUUGUGAGGGCAGUUCAGCUUUCUAACCGUCCUCGGACAAUUCAUCAUUAAUGUGACCUCAAAUCAGGUAGGACUACCCGCUGAACUUAA